rnacentral:rRNA from 1 species
AUUGAACGCUGGCGGCAGGCUUAACACAUGCAAGUCGAGCGAGCGGCGGACGGGUGAGUAAUGUCUGGGAAACUGCCUGAUGGUGGGGAAUAUCUCCUGGAAACGGUGGCUAAUACCGCAUACCCUCAUCUGUGCCCAGAUGGGAUUAGCUAGUAGGUGGGGUAAUGGCUCACCUAGGCGACGAUCCCUCGCUGGUCUGAGAGGUUGACCAGCCACACUGGAACUGAGACACGGUACAGACGCCUACGGGAGGCAGCAGUGGGGAAGAUUGCACAAUGGGCGCAAGCCUGAUGCAGCGAUGCCGCGUGUGUGAAGAAGGCCUUCGGGUUGUAAAGCACUUUCAGCGAGGAGGCGUUACUCGCAGAAGAAGCACCGGCUAGCUCCGAGCCAGCCGCCGCGGUAAUUC